rnacentral:lncRNA from 1 species
AUCACAGAAUAGAUACUUUCUGUGAGUUUAACAAAAUUGGCAAAAAGAGAAGAAUAUAAAAGUGUGGACUAUAGACUCUGUAAGGGAGCAUGGGGAAAGGAGUCAGCAGACUGCUGAGGAAAAGCACACAGGUGAAGAAUAACCUAAGAGCUGCCUGGAAGUGUGUGAAGUGAGCCAGCGCCCCAUGCCUCUGCAUGGAGUCCAAAGAGGGCAGGAUGGUCCAGAGCCUCCACACCUUAUGGAGACCCAAUGAAGAGACUGGAUAUGCUAUACUGCCAACCAUAGAAGAGUAGGAUGCACCCCAGCCUAACAUCUCCUGCAAAGCUGAGCCUACUCAUUAAUAGACUUUUAACACAAUAGAAGCAUUUUACUCAUUAAUCUUCCAAAAGAACCUCU